rnacentral:rRNA from 1 species
UUAUUGGGCCUAAGCAUCCGUAGCUGGCUGGGCAAGUCCCCUGNUAAAUCCACCGAUUUAAUCGAUUGGGUGCGGGGGAUACUGCUCGGCUAGGGGACGGGAGAGGCAGACGGUAUUUCCGGGGUAGGGGUGAAAUCCUAUAAUCCCGGGAGGACCACCAGUGGCGAAGGCUGUCUGCUAGAACGUGCCCGACGGUGAGGGAUGAAAGCUGGGGGAGCGAACCGGAUUAGAUACCCGGGUAGUCCCAGCUGUAAACGAUGCANGCUAGGUGUUUGGGCGCACGUCGCUCUAGUGCCGCAGGGAAGCCGUUAAGCCUGCCGCCUGGGGAGUACGGCCGCAAGGCUGAAACUUAAAGGAAUUGGCGGGGGA